rnacentral:rRNA from 1 species
GCAUUGAUUUUAUAAAUGUUAUAAGUAAAGGCAAGUGAAAUUGAUUUUUAUGUUAUAUUUAUUAAUAAAUUGGAGUUGAAGCUAAAAAAAUUUAGUAAAAGACUAGGAUUAGAUACCCUAUUAUUUAAAAAUAAAAAAUAAAAACUUAAUUAGUUAAAGAUAUAUACUUAAAAUUUAAAAAAUUUGGCGGUAAUUUAAUCUUUUCAGAGGAACCUGUUUUUUAAUCGAUAAACCACGAAAUAUCUUACUUACUUUUGUAAUAUUUUUAGUUUGUAUACCAUCAUUAACAAAUAAUUUCAAAAAGAAAAAAUUAUUUAGCAUAAAAUAAUUAUAAAAAUUAGAUCAAGGUGCAGCUUAUAAGUAAGGUAAAAUGGGUUACAAUAAAUCAUUUUAUUAAUGGAUUAAUAAAGUAAUCUUUGUUAUGAAGGAGGAUUUGAUUGUAUUUUGAAUUUAAUAAGUUUAAAAGAUAUAAGCUCUAAAUUAUGUACAUAUCGCCCGUCGCUUUCAUCUAUAAAU